UACAGGGGGUGCAAACGUUGCUCGGAAUCAUUGGGCGUAAAGCGCACGUAGGCGGUCUGUUAUGUCGGAUGUGAAAGCCCUUGGCUCAACUGAGGAAGUGCAUCCAAAACUGGCAGGCUAGAGUACGAAAGAGGAUCGCGGAAUUCCCGGUGUAGAGGUGAAAUUCGUUGAUAUCAGGAGGAACACCCAUGGCGAAGGCAGCUGACUGGGCAUUAUCUGACGCUGAGGCGCGAAAGCGUGGGUAGCAAACAGG
rnacentral:rRNA from 1 species